rnacentral:lncRNA from 1 species
UUUUUUUUUUGGAUUUUUGAAUAAGGAUAACUAAAUUGCAGCAGUAGUAAGGUAGGAAACCAGAACCUGUUGCAAUUCACGGGGAGAUCAAAGGAUGAUCCGUGGUGGUGGAGAUGAUGGCGGAAUUUGGCGACGAUCUUUUAAGCAAUUGUGGGAAUUGCUUUGGGCGGUCGUGGAGGGCUGAUGGAUGGCAGUGGAAGGGCAGCGAG